AUGUACAAGGUGUGCACCAAUAGGGGCUGCAAAGUAUCCAUCAUAAUGGCCGGCAUGGACGCGGCCAUCAAGGAUGGGGUGGACGUGCUCUCGCUGUCUCUCGGUAGCCGAACCACUGUCAGCUUCAUAAAUGACCCCAUCGCCAUCGGUGCAUUCAGCGCAAUAUCCAAGGGCAUCAUUGUGGUGUGUGCGGCUGGCAACAGAGGUCCCACUCCACGAUCGAUCACAAACGAUGCGCCGUGGUUGCUCACGGUUGCUGCCGGCUCGGUGGACCGGAGAUUCGACGCUGGCGUGCAUCUCGGCAACGGCAAGCGCAUCGACGGGGAAGCACUUACCAAGGUGACAAAGCCAACCUCAAACCCGUACCCUCUCCUCUACUCCGAGGAACAUCGUUUCUGCCAGAAUGAGGAUCACGGUUUCGUUGCUGGGAAAGUAAUUGUUUGCCAGGCCACGACACCAGCGAAUCAGUAUUUUGACAUUGCGAGGCUAAUGGCUGCCGGUGCGGCUGGCGUGGUGCUUUUCAAUAAUCAAGCCGCCGGCUACACCAUUGCUCUUCAUGACUACAAGGCGGGGGUGGUGCAGGUGACCUCUGCCGAUGGCAUCACCAUUGCAGCUUACGCGAAGUCAGCAACGAACGGUGCCGUGGCAACUUUCACAUACAACAACACAGUGUUGGGUGUUCGUCCGAGCCCGGUCGUUGCGUCAUUCUCUUCCAGGGGUCCAAGCUAUAUCGCCCCCGGCGUGCUCAAGCCAGACAUUCUUGCGCCCGGGCUCAACAUCCUUGCGGCAUGGCCAGGACCUUCUUUCAAAAUCAUAUCAGGUACGUCCAUGGCAACGCCACAUGUCAGCGGUGUUGCGGCUCUUAUCAAAAGCUUGCAUCCUGACUGGUCACCGGCUGCCAUCAAGUCGGCCAUCUUGACAACCUCGGACGUUGUCAACAACAUCGGCGACUCGAUCUUGAACGAGAGGCAUGGUAAAGCCAGUGCCUACGAUAGAGGUGCCGGCCAUGUGAACCCCGCGAGAGCCGCCGACCCUGGUCUGGUGUACAAACUCGGCGCGACUGACUAUGCAGGCUACAUCUGCUGGCUCUUCGGCGACGAAGGCUUGCGGACCAUUGUACGCAACUGGAGCUUGACAUGCGCGAAGCUGCCCAAGGUCAAGGACGUUUAG
rnacentral:rRNA from 1 species